GUCUUUGGUGAAUAGUCGGUCAAAGCAUAGGCGGGACGACUGCUUGCAGGCAGGAACGCCUAUGCAUUAGACGGACAAACAGACAUGAGCAAGUAGGGCGACAGCCCGGAAUGCGAAUGCGAAUGGCUGUAGCGGUUCGAGAGUGCGAAGCACGGAGAAACGCGUGAUUCACCAAAGAU
rnacentral:ncRNA from 2 species